rnacentral:rRNA from 1 species
AGGAUGAACGCUGGCGGUCUGCUUAACACAUGCAAGUCGAACGGAGUAGCAAUACUUAGUGGCGGACGGGUGAGUAACGCGUGAGAAUCUACCUUCAGGACGGAGACAACAGUUGGAAACGACUGCUAACCCCCGAUGUACUGAAAAGGCAAAUAUUUAUAGCCUGAAGAAGAGCUCGCGUCCGAUUAGCUAGUUGGAGAGGUAAAAGCUCACCAAGGCGACGAUCGGUAGCUGGUCUGAGAGGACGAUCAGCCACACUGGGACUGAGACACGGCCCAGACUCCUACGGGAGGCAGCAGUGGGGAAUUUUCCGCAAUGGGCGAAAGCCUGACGGAGCAAGACCGCGUGGGGGAAGAAGGCUCUUGGGUUGUAAACCCCCUUUUCUCUGGGAAGAACACAAUGACGGUACCAGAGGAAUCAGCAUCGGCUAACUCCGUGCCAGCAGCCGC